rnacentral:tRNA from 1 species
GACAGCUUGGCCGAGCGGUUAAGGCGAUAGACUCGAAAUCUAUUGGGGAACCCGCGUGAGUUCAAAUCUCACAGCUGUCG